AUUGGAGAGAUGAAGCUGGACUGCCACUGAAGAGACAAGUUUAAACAGCCAGUGGCUUUGUCCUGGGUGGUCUUCCAUGUGAUUUCUCUAAAGUCAAAGAGUGAGAGUUGGGGCUACGUCUGCCCAAAUACUGGUUUGAUGACAACUAGAUGGGGUUUUGCUGUGUUCUUACUUGCACAAUUUUGACAGAAAGACACAUGGAAAGCUGCAAUAUUUACAAUAUUCCAAAGAGUGAAACUGAAAUAGCUUGUAGAAGACUACAUGAAUUCUGACUAUUCAAGCAAGGAUCCAAAGAAUUGAUUUGGGAGAAGAAAGAAGGCCUAUGGGAAAGAACUGCAUGCAUAGCUAAGAUUUGACUGGUCAUUUUGGCUAGAACUGCCA